rnacentral:rRNA from 1 species
AGAGUUUGAUCCUGGCUCAGGACGAACGCUGGCGGCGUGCCUAACACAUGCAAGUCGAACGGAGUAGAGACUUCGGUUUUUACUUAGUGGCGAACGGGUGAGUAACGCGUGAGAAACCUGCCUUUCAGUGGGGGACAACAGUUGGAAACGACUGCUAAUACCGCAUAAUGUUAUUUGGGGGCAUCCUUGAAUAACCAAAGAUUUAUUGCUGAAAGAUGGUCUCGCGUCUGAUUAGCUAGUUGGUGAGGUAACGGCUCACCAAGGCGACGAUCAGUAGCCGGUCUGAGAGGAUGAACGGCCACAUUGGGACUGAGAUACGGCCCAGACUCCUACGGGAGGCAGCAGUGGGGAAUAUUGGGCAAUGGGCGAAAGCCGGAUCCAGCAACGCCGCGUGAAGGAAGAAGGCCUUCGGGUUGUAAACUUCUUUACCAGGGACGAAGAACGUGACGUACCGGAGAAAAGCACG